GAGAGAAAGAGGAGAGGAGAGAGCAGGGAGCGAGAGCAGGGAGCGAGAGGGGAUAGAGAGAGAGAGCAGGAGAGGGAGGGAGAGGGAGGCAGCUGUGGUAUUUGCAGAAUGACGACUCUCUCUGUAAAGAGGGAAGAGGAGAGCGUGGUGUGUUUGAUUCCGGCUCCUGGUGUCCAGCAUCGGCGCUCUCACUCGGCUCGCUCUCCUGUUCAGACUUGCUGCUGAAAAAACGCCCAAGUUCCAGGAACGCUGCUGGAGGUGAAGGGAUUCGCACCAGCCUGGGCAAGUCCGCACUGAGUGAGGUGAAGUGAAAUUGAAACAUGGCUUAAAGCUACAGUUCAGCUCUGAGAGGAGUUACGAGUAAAACCGACGCAGGAAACGAACCGAUGUCAUGAUUCUGAACUUGAACCGAAGUUCGAUUGAUUGGGGAGGAAAUUCACGAGCAAUGAUUAGAUCAGCUUUCAACCGCAGGCGCUUUGUCUAGAGGAGAGAACACACACACUAUUAACCGAGCACAGAGACGCACAGCGUGAGCACACGCCGUGAUUUCACAACAACAGGACGGAACAGAAGUGAAGCAAGAGAUAAGAGAAAACAAUAAUAAAAAUAGUAAAGAAGAAAAGGAGGAAAGAGAAGAAAAAGAAAAGAGCAAGACAACAGAAAAGAAAAAAGUGCGAGAUAAGACAAAAGAAUGAAAGACGUAAACAGGGAAAGAAAGAUGUAGAAGAAAAAAGCACAAGACAAUAGAAAGAAAAAAGAACAACAGUUCUGAGAAAACUGAAAGAAAGAAAAGUGUGGGAAGACAACGGGAAAAACGAACAGUGGGCGAAGAGAAGAAAAGGUACAGGACAAUAGAAGGAAAGAAGUGAAGAGGAUAAAGAAAAGCAUGAAAAAGCUGCAUGAUAGUGAAAAAGUAUAAGGCAAGAGAAAGAAACCAAGGAAAGAGGGGAAAGUAAAGAAAAAGAAAAACCGUAUGACAGAAAUGAAAGAACAGAAAGAGGGAGAAUGUUAAAGAGAGAAGAAAAAGGAUUUAAAGAGCGAGUAAAUGUAAAAUAUAAAGAAGAAAAACAAGCCCCCCAAAAAACAAGAAAGUUGUUUUAGAGAGACAGAGAGAGAGAGAGAGAGAGAAAGAAAGGUUGCAGAGGAAAACAUCAAAGAGAAGUAGAAUGGGACAACGAAAAAGAGAAAAAAGGCAAAAAAGUAUGAAGAGAAAAAAGAGAAAGAAGAAUUGAAAAAGUGAGAAAGGAAGGAGGGAUGGAGGACAGAAAAAAAAUCUCUGGAGCCUUAAUUUUUUUUUUAAAUAAUAAAGAAAAACUUCACUUAAAUUCCAUUCUUUUUAAAAAGACAUACGACUAAUUUUAUUUUCAUUCAGUGACGCCUGUCCCCCCUUCUCUCUCUCUCUCUCUCUCCUCCAUCUGAGAAUCUUCCAGGACGUACGCUACACUCAACUCAGAAGUGGGAACUCGGAAUUACGGCAUUUUCAACCUUUGAGCUCCAAAGUGGGGAAAAACUCCGACACCUCGAAAUUCCGAAGUGUGAGCUUUUACUCGAGCGCUGCACGAUCACGGCCUGUUUGUGAUGAACACGAGGGCCGACUGAUGAAUCCACGUGCAGACAGACAGGAGUUUCAAGACGCCGCUACACACAAAUGAAGAAUAAUCAGAAGAAUAAAAAUGGAGCUGCUGUGCGUCACAUGAUCGCUGUUAGAACGCCGUGAACGAUGGAGGUUUUAAAAAUGUUUACAGACCUAAUAAAAAGACACUAACAAGAAAUAGACUGAGCAUAAAGCGGAGUGAAAGUGAUGGUUUCCCGGUGCCGCGGAGCCGGUGAGGAGGGAAUGGGCAGGUGCUGCAGUAAAGGUGUAAAUCUGUACAGCGGGUCAGGACUGCUGCGUACCAGGAGGACAUGAGGUUAUAAACAGUGGGAUGCAGGAGAUUUCCUCAUAAACUCGUGAGUGUGUAAAAAGCACACAUGCAGGCUCGGAGAAGAGAAAUGUCGCAGGAAGAGUGAGGAAUGUCAGUUCAGAGCCCUUCCUCUAAAUCAGCUGAUCAGGAUCCUUCCUGUCUCAAUUUCAUCUCCACUGGACAAAAGCUGCACGUUCAACACGCCGAGUGCAGCCUGAAGAGGAAGCAAGAGUGAGAAGAGUCUGACUCAGGACCACUGCACAGAAAGACACAACCUUCCAAUGCAGCGCUCUCUCUCUCUCUCUCUCUCUGUGUGUGAGAACGAGAGCAAGAGAGAAUGAGAACAAGAGAUAGAGAGAACGGACACGAGAACAAGAGAACGAAAACAGAACGAGAGAGAUACAGAGAAUGAAAACGAGAACAAGCGCAAGAGAUAGAGAAAACGAAAACAAGAGUGAGAGAUAGAGAGAACAAAAACGAGAACAAGAGCGAGAGAUAGAGAGAACAAAAACAAGAGAACAAGAGCGAGAUAGAGAACAAAAACAAGAGAACAAGAGCGAGAUAGAGAGAACAAAAACAAGAGAACAAGAGCGAGAGAUAGAGAGAACGAAAACGAGCACAAGAGCGAGAGACAGAGAGAACAAAAACAAGAGAACGAGAACAAGAGAUAGAGAGAACGAAAACGAGCACAAGAGAUAGAACGAAAACAAGAGAACGAGCGCGAGAGAUAGAGAGAACGAAAACAAGAGAAUGAGCGUGAGAGAUAGAGAACGAAAACGAGAACGAGCGCAAGAGAUAGAGAGAACGAAAACAAGAGAACGAGCGCGAGAGAUAGAGAGAACAAAAACAAGAGAACGAGCGCAAGAGAUAGAGAGAACAAAAACAAGAGAACAAGAGCGAGAGAUAGAGAGAACGAAAACGAGCACAAGAGCGAGAGAUAGAGAGAACAAAAACAAGAGAACGAGAACAAGAGAUAGAGAGAACGAAAACGAGCACAAGAGAUAGAGAGAACGAAAACGAGCACAAGAGAUAGAGAGAACGAAAACGAGAACGAGAGAUAGAACGAAAACAAGAGAACGAGCGCGAGAGAUAGAGAGAACGAAAACAAGAGAAUGAGCGUGAGAGAUAGAGAACGAAAACGAGAACGAGCGCAAGAGAUAGAGAGAACGAAAACAAGAGAACGAGCGCGAGAGAUAGAGAGAACAAAAACAAGAGAUAGAGAACAAAAACAAGAGAACGAGCGCAAGAGAUAGAGAGAAUGAAAACAAGAGAACGAGAGAAAGAACAAAAACAAGAGAACGAGAGAUAGAGAACAAAAACAAGAGAACAAGUGAGAGAUAGGGAACAAAAACAAGAAAACAAGAGACAGAGAACAAAAACAAGAAAACGAGCAAGAGAUAAAGAGCGAGAGAGAAGGAAAACAAGAGCGAGAUAGAGAACGAGAUAGAGAGAAGGAAAACAAGAGAACAAGAGCGAGAGAUAGAGAGAACAAAAACAAGAGAGCGAGAGAUAGAGAGAACAAAAACAAGAGAACGAGAGAUGGAGAGAACAAAAACAAGAGAAUGAGAGAAAGUGAGAACAAAAACAAGAGAACGAGAGAAAGUGAGAACAAAAACAAGAGAACGAGAGAAAGUGAGAACAAAAACAAGAGAACGAGAGAAAGUGAGAACAAAAACAAGAGAACGAGAGAAAGUGAGAACAAAAACAAGAGAACGAGAGAAAGUGAGAACAAAAACAAGAGAACGAGAGCUAGAGAACGAAAACAAGAGCGAGAGCUAGAGAACAA